UAUUGUUGCACUGCGGUCAGUAUCGGUAACAGAGGGCAUGGGUGUAAGAAUGUUGUUUUGCAAUGAUUAGGUCUGCCCAUGACCAACUCUUCUUAGAGCCUUUUGAUUGCCUUUGAGGACCCACCCUAGGGAACUGGCCUUGUGAGGAAACUCCAAAGCUGAGGACAGCUUUCAGCCUCCUCACCCAGCUGUGCUCAGCUAUUCCCCAGCACCAGCAACACAAACCUGAGUCUGGCUUGAGACCAAAUCGGUAUAAUGCAGUGCUUCUCUCCUUGGUUGCUCUGCAACCAGCAGCUGCAGACUUCCUGUCGUUAGAUCACCCUGACACUUUGUGGAGGAAUGUGGAGGCACUGGACCUUGUGACAGAGGAAUUUACAGACUGCUUGAUUAGCCAGGAGAGAGUUUUCCAGAAUCUGACAGAAAGUCUCAUUAACCCCCUGUUAUCGUGUUCCAGAAUACCUCGGGAAAUGGGUGUGUGUCUGCAGACACACACCGCGUACAUAUUCUGUAAGGGACAACUGUCAUCGCCACCCGUAGCACAUUUGGCUGCAGUGGGUUGACGGUGCUUGCUGUCAGUCUGUCUCCAGAGCAUGACGACCCUAAAUGAAAUGGGACAUGGAUGCUGUUAACCCACACGGCAGAAAUAUCCACUGGAAGCUGUCUCAGCCUCAGCAGCAAGAGGAGAUGGAUCUGGUUUCGUAAACCUUAGUUCAGGCUACCGUCCCUCCUCCUGACUGGGACCACUGCCCACAGCUGUGGGCAGGCAGGAGGAAUUUGGCUAUUUGGGCACUGACAAUCGGGGCUGACAGCCCAUCCCUGUGCCAACCUCGGUAGAGGAGACUGAGGUGAGAACAUGGGAGGUGUAUUGGCCCCUCCAGGGACUGGAUAUAGUGAGUGUGAGUGGUUGGUACAGUGUCAGGCUGGCCUUGAGUGCCAGAGUUGGGAAUGCCAUUCUAGUUUUCCAGAAAGACUUUUGUGUACUGAACAAAUAGGUGUGCUAUAGUGGGAUUUUAAACUGUUGACUCAGGUAGGAGGUACGUUUUUCAAAAAAUAAGGGAAAUUGAUCAGGAAUAGUAAGGUGGGGUUUUUGUUUGUUUGUUUUCUGUGAAAGUUGCCACAUGACAUAACAGAAAAGGGAAGAAAGGGUUAAUUUCAUUGAAAUGUGAACGAUUUGUUUAAAGUGUAUCCAACAGUUGGCCAAGAACUUAACUGAAGCUGCUGCUGUUUAGUUUGCUUUGUAAGAAUGCAGCCCUUGGGAGCCCAGAGCUGCAGGUACUUUGCUACCUAUCAGCAUACACAAAUACAACCUUUUCUUCCAAAGUGUUUCCUUCUGCCUGUUCAUAAGUAAAGUAAUAAUCAUUCAAGACAUGCUUUAGAAAAGAAAAAAAAA